rnacentral:tRNA from 1 species
GCUCCGUAGCUCAAUCAGACAGAGCACCCGGCUUUGGACCGGGUGGUUGAUGGUGCAAAUCCAUCCGGAGCCG